UACGUAGGGUGCAAGCGUUGUCCGGAAUUAUUGGGCGUAAAGAGCUCGUAGGCGGUCUGUCGCGUCUGGUGUGAAAAUCCAGGGCUUAACCCUGGACCUGCAUCGGGUACGGGCAGACUAGAGUGCGGUAGGGGAGAUCGGAAUUCCUGGUGUAGCGGUGAAAUGCGCAGAUAUCAGGAGGAACACCGGUGGCGAAGGCGGCUCACUGGCCCGAUACUGACGCUGAGGCACGAAAGCGUGGGGAGCAAACAGG
rnacentral:rRNA from 1 species